GUGCACCAGGCGCGAAUACUUUACAAUGUGCGAAAGCACGAUAAGGGAACUCUGAGUGCCUCCUAAGGAGGCUGUUCAGGUGUCUAAAAGCACCUGAAGGAAGGGCUGGGUAAGACCGGUGCCAGCCGCCGCGGUAACACCGGCAGCCCAAGUGGUAGCCACGUUUAUUGGGUCUAAAGCGUCCGUAGCCGGCUGGGUAAGUUCCUUGGGAAAUUUGGCUGCUUAACAGUCAAGCUUUCAGGGAAUACUGCCCGGCUUGGGACCGGGAGAGGUCAGAGGUACUCCAGGGGUAGGGGUGAAAUCCAUUAAUCCUUGGGGGACCACCGGUAGCGAAGGCGUCUGACCAGACCGGGUCCGACGGUGAGGGACGAAGGCUAGGGGCGCGAACCGGAUUAGAUACCCCGAUAGU
rnacentral:rRNA from 1 species